UCACGGCAAAGCCAGAUCCUUGACCCGCUGAGCGAGGCCAGGGAUCGAACCCUCAACCUCAUGGUUCCUAGUCAGAUUCGUUAACCACUGAGCCACAAUGGGAACUCCCUACAGGAUCAUUUUUAAUGACUCUAUGAUAUUCCAUUAGAUGGUGUGCCAACAUUUUUUUUUAAUCCUCUUCUGAGAAAAUUAGGAUAUUUCCAAACUUGCUGUUUUUAUAAACAUUCCUGGGGCAAACAUCCUGGGCAGAACUCUUUGCUCAGUUACCUAAUUAUAUUCUUAGGGGAAAAAUCCCUAGAAAUGGAAUCGCUGAAUGGAGCACUUGCACUUUUCUCUAAGGUUGUUGCUUCUUCUUGCCAAAAAGCCCCUUGGAAAACCUUCCCCCUCUCUGCCCUCCUCCAGCAAUGUAGGAAAAUGCACAUUUCCCACACUCUCACCCAUUCUGGGCAUCGUAAAACAUUUCAACCUUAGAGCACACAUUUUCAGGAAAGCACAUGACAGUUCUGCUUAGUCUUGACCUCCAGCAUGACUGGCCAGAAGCCCUGGAACCCGGGUGAAAUGACCAGAUAGAGCCAGGCGCGCUGGGCACACGGAGGGCCUCUCCCCGCCUGCUUUCUCUUCCAGGGAAGAAAAUGAAAAUAAAAAGGCCCAGGGGAAUCAUCUCUCUGCACGCCAACUAGAUGAUGGAGGAACUGGGGAGAAGAAGGCGCCAAGAGUGUCACAGGCCGCCUCCUUCACGCUCCCAGGUCUCCAUCCCGAAGCUCGUGCCAUGGCUGGACCAGAGCAGAUGUUCCACAUGUGGUUCUCUGAGUGAGUCCUCGUUCCACCACUUCUUAGCUGGGAGACCUUGAGUAAGAAUGUGGGCACCCUGGCUGGAGCUCCUGAAGCCAUCUUGUGACCUUGAGGAUAGAAGUCAUGGGCCAAGGAUGGGCCAAGCCGAGUGAGAAGUCACCUCCAUGCCAGCCCUGAAUUGCCUGCUUUGAAACUUCUUCAUAAAAGAAAUGUGAGACUUCAUUUAAUUUAAACCACUUUAGUUUUCUCUUUUAGACAGCUAAACCAAAAUCCGAUACAACAACCACGCAGUUUCAUGCCUCUGAGUUUUUGCAUAGCUGUUCUCUCUGCUAGGAACGUUUCCUUCCAGUCCUCUACCUGGUGAACUUGUAAUCGUGUUUGAAGCUUCCACUGCAGCAUCCCACUCUGUGUGGAAUCCCUUCUAACUGACCCCUCAGGUAGGCAUAAUAUAUGUUUAAUAAAUAUUCAAACAAUUAAGUAAUAAUUGUUGAAGGAAAAUUUCUAAGAAUGAAUGAAAAAUGAAUCAUGUACAUAAAAAUGACAAGGACGGAGUUCUCUUUGUGGCUUAGUGGUUACUGAAACUGACAAGGGUCUAUGAGGAUGCAGGUUCGAUCCCUGGCCUCGCUCAGUGGG